AUUGAACGCUGGCGGCAUGCCUUACACAUGCAAGUCGAACGGCAGCGGGGGAGAAGCUUGCUUUUCCUGCCGGCGAGUGGCGAACGGGUGAGUAAUACAUCGGAACGUGCCCUGUAGUGGGGGAUAACUAGUCGAAAGAUUAGCUAAUACCGCAUACGACCUGAGGGUGAAAGUGGGGGACCGCAAGGCCUCAUGCUAUAGGAGCGGCCGAUGUCUGAUUAGCUAGUUGGUGGGGGAAAGGCCUACCAAGGCGACGAUCAGUAGCUGGUCUGAGAGGACGAUCAGCCACACUGGGAGUGGGACACGGCCCAGACUCCUACGGGAGGCAGCAGUGGGGAAUUUUGGACAAUGGGCGAAAGCCUGAUCCAGCAAUGCCGCGUGUGUGAAGAAGGCCUUCGGGUUGUAAAGCCCUUUUGUCCGGAAAGAAAUGGCUCUGGUUAAUACCUGGGGUCGAUGACGGUACCGGAAGAAUAAGGACCGGCUAACUACGUGCCAGCCGCCGCAGUAA
rnacentral:rRNA from 1 species